CCGUAAACGAUGAGUGCUAAGUGUUAGGGGGUUUCCGCCCCUUAGUGCUGCAGCUAACGCAUUAAGCACUCCGCCUGGGGAGUACGACCGCAAGGUUGAGACUCAAAGGAAUUGACGGGGACCCGCACAAGCGGUGGAGCAUGUGGUUUAAUUCGAAGCAACGCGAAGAACCUUACCAAAUCUUGACAUCCUCUGACCCCUCUAGAGAUAGAGUUUUCCCCUUCGGGGGACAGAGUAACAGGUGGUGCAUGGUUGUCGUCAGCUCGUGUCGUGAGAUGUUGGGUUAAGUCCCGCAACGAGCGCAACCCUUAAGCUUAGUUGCCAUCAUUAAGUUGGGCACUCUAAGUUGACUGCCGGUGACAAACCGGAGGAAGGUGGGGAUGACGUCAAAUCAUCAUGCCCCUUAUGAUUUGGGCUACACACGUGCUACAAUGGACAAUACAAAGGGCAGCGAAACCGCGAGGUCAAGCAAAUCCCAUAAAGUUGUUCUCAGUUCGGAUUGUAGUCUGCAACUCGACUAUAUGAAGCUGGAAUCGCUAGUAAUCGUAGAUCAGCAUGCUACGGUGAAUACGUUCCCGGGUCAUGUACACACCGCCCGUCACACCACGAGAGUUUGUAACACCCGAAGCCGGUGGAGUAA
rnacentral:rRNA from 1 species